CACUGUCUGGCGAUCUUUGACAUGUGACUAUGCACUUCUGUAGUUUAGUUCAAUGUCUGAGAGACAUUCGAGGUCGGAUGCAUGUGACUUACGUCAGGAUCCAACAGAAAGCGUGAAGAAGAGAUGGAAUUUGCGAAAGGCAGACGGAAGGAUCAUCGUUUUCGCUAUGAGAAAUGGAAUUCACGUUACGUAAAGGCAAUCAACGAAGAAUUUGUUUGUAGUCACCUCCUGCAGUCACUGUCACGGUUCUCCAUAACCGAUGAAAGAGAAUGAUAUAUGUAGUCUGAAUAUGGUUUAGCCUGCCUUGUAUCUAGUCUUGAACCAGUAAACUGAGGUUCCGAAUUGGAAACCUGUAACAACUCCAUUGUAUAGUGUGCGAAUUAAUAUAUAUGUUAAGUGGUUUUUAGUUUUAAAUUUAAAUUACUUAAGCGUUAAAGCUAUUUAUGUAAACGGGAAGUGCAAAGAGAACUUGUAGUACCGGUACUUUAAAUCUUUACAUAAUAUUUAACUGCAUCUGUUGCCAGCCCAAUGUUGAUGUUUUUUAAUUUUAAAAUUUAGGGCUACCCAAGAAAAUUCCACAACAGUAUCUCCCUGUAUAAAUCUCACAUUGUAAUUUUUAUUCGCUUUUAAAUGACUUUGUUAGCAUUAUCAAAUUCAGAAAAUUGUCAUUAAUAUUUGAGCUUUAUUGAUACAUAACUUGUUUAAGUGAAGAUAAUAAAACGAAUGAAAAGUG